UCGGGCCAAAGAGUUGCGAGAGGCAUCCCACACAGAAGACAAGGCAGGGGCCUGCCCUGAGCACUGGGGUCUCUGCAGUUUCAUGCAGAGACGAAGCUCCCUGGUUAGGACUCCGUCUGUGGCUCCCAGAAGCUACAAGUGCCUCUGCUAGAUGAGAAAAAGAGAUCAGGAAUUCCUGGCCUCUGAGAAUCAUUCAGUGAUUCAAUGGGACGAGAACAGCACAACACUGUUGAAACACACCCACUCUCCAGACUGAAGCUCAAGUUCAGCGACGGUCAGGAACUGGCCAGAGAGGGGACAAGUCAGGAAUGGAAGCCAGGUCUUGCGGACUCAGAGGCCAAUAAUGACCGACAAUGUGAAAAAGCAAAGCCUGGGGCACACUAAUAAAUCUUAGUGCAAUCCUAGUAAAGAAAAA